rnacentral:rRNA from 1 species
AGUGAACGCUGGCGGUAGGCCUAACACAUGCAAGUCGAACGGCAGCACAGAGGAGCUUGCUCCUUGGGUGGCGAGUGGCGGACGGGUGAGGAAUACAUCGGAAUCUACUCUGUCGUGGGGGAUAACGUAGGGAAACUUACGCUAAUACCGCAUACGACCUACGGGUGAAAGCAGGGGAUCUUCGGACCUUGCGCGAUUGAAUGAGCCGAUGUCGGAUUAGCUAGUUGGCGGGGUAAAGGCCCACCAAGGCGACGAUCCGUAGCUGGUCUGAGAGGAUGAUCAGCCACACUGGAACUGAGACACGGUCCAGACUCCUACGGGAGGCAGCAGUGGGGAAUAUUGGACAAUGGGCGCAAGCCUGAUCCAGCCAUACCGCGUGGGUGAAGAAGGCCUUCGGGUUGUAAAGCCCUUUUGUUGGGAAAGAAAUCCAUCUGGUUAAUACCCGGGUGGGAUGACGGCACCCAAAGAAUAAGCACCGGCUAACUUCGUGCCAGCAGCCGCGGUAA